ACGAACGCUGGCGGCGUGCUUAACACAUGCAAGUCGAACGGAAAGGCCCUGCUUUUGUGGGGUGCUCGAGUGGCGAACGGGUGCGUAACACGUGAGUAACCUGCCCUUGACUUUGGGAUAACUUCAGGAAACUGGGGCUAAUACCGGAUAGGAGCUCCUGCUGCAUGGUGGGGGUUGGAAAGUUUCGGCGGUUGGGGAUGGACUCGCGGCUUAUCAGCUUGUUGGUGGGGUAGUGGCUUACCAAGGCUUUGACGGGUAGCCGGCCUGAGAGGGUGACCGGCCACAUUGGGACUGAGAUACGGCCCAGACUCCUACGGGAGGCAGCAGUGGGGAAUAUUGCACAAUGGGCGGAAGCCUGAUGCAGCAACGCCGCGUGCGGGAUGACGGCCUUCGGGUUGUAAACCGCUUUCGCCUGUGACGAAGCGUGAGUGACGGUAAUGGGUAAAGAAGCACCGGCUAACUACGU
rnacentral:rRNA from 1 species